rnacentral:rRNA from 1 species
GACGAACGCUGGCGGCGUGCUUAACACAUGCAAGUCGAACGGAAAGGCCCUGCUUUUGUGGGGUGCUCGAGUGGCGAACGGGUGAGUAACACGUGAGUAACCUGCCCUUGACUUUGGGAUAACUUCAGGAAACUGGGGCUAAUACCGGAUAGGAGCUCCUGCUGCAUGGUGGGGGUUGGAAAGUUUCGGCGGUUGGGGAUGGACGCGCGGCUUAUCAGCUUGUUGGGGGGGUAGUUGCUUACCAAGGCUUUGGCGGGUAGCCGGCCUGGGAGGGUGACCGGCCACAAUGCGACUGAGAUACGGCGCAGACUCCUACGUGAGGCAGCAGUGGGGAGUCUUGCACAAUGGGCGGAAGCGUGAUGCAGCAACGCCGCGAUCGGGAUGACCGCUUUCGGGUUGGAAACCGCUUUAGCCUGUGACGAAGCUGGAGUGACGGUAAUGGGUAAAGAAGCACCGGCUAACUACGUG